GACGAACGCUGGCGGCGUGCUUAACACAUGCAAGUCGAACGGAAAGGCCCUGCUUUUGUGGGGUGCUCGAGUGGCGAACGGGUGAGUAACACGUGAGUAACCUGCCCUUGACUUUGGGAUAACUUCAGGAAACUGGGGCUAAUACCGGAUAGGAGCUCCUGCUGCAUGGUGGGGGUUGGAAAGUUUCGGCGGUUGGGGAUGGACUCGCGGCUUAUCAGCUUGUUGGUGGGGUAGUGGCUUACCAAGGCUUUGACGGGUAGCCGGCCUGAGAGGGUGACCGGCCACAUUGGGACUGAGAUACGGCCCAGACUCAUACGGGAGGCAGCAGUGGGGAAUAUUGCAAAAUGGGCGGAAGCCGGAUGCAGCAACGCCGGGUGGGGGAGGACGGCCUUCGGGUUGUAAACGGCUUUCGCCUGUGACGAAGCGUGAGUGACGGUAAUGGGGAAAGAAGCACCGGCUAACUACGU
rnacentral:rRNA from 1 species